rnacentral:rRNA from 1 species
UACGUAGGGGGCAAGCGUUGUCCGGAUUUAUUGGGCGUAAAGAGCUCGUAGGCGGUUUGUCGCGUCGUCCGUGAAAACUUGGGGCUCAACCCCAAGCUUGCGGGCGAUACGGGCAGACUUGAGUACUGCAGGGGAGACUGGAAUUCCUGGUGUAGCGGUGAAAUGCGCAGAUAUCAGGAGGAACACCGGUGGCGAAGGCGGGUCUCUGGGCAGUAACUGACGCUGAGGAGCGAAAGCGUGGGUAGCAAACAGG